AGAGAAUAGAUACCCUGGUAGUCCUAGCCCUAAACGGUGCACGUUUGCUGUAAAGGAAUCGACCCCUUUUGUGGCGAAAGCUAAACGCGAUAAACGUGCCGCCUGGGGAGUACGGUCGCAAGAUUAAAACUCAAAGAAAUUGACGGGGGCCUGCACAAGCGGUGGAGUAUGUGGCUUAAUUCGAUGCAACGCGAAGAACCUUACCUGGCCUUGACAUGCAAGUGGUAGAACCAUGAAAGUGGGACGAUCCCGCAAGGGAAGCUUGCACAGGUGCUGCAUGGCUAGUCGUCAGCUCGUGUCGUGAGAUGUUGGGUUAAGUCCCGCAACGAGCGCAACCCUUGUGUCCUGUUGCCACCCCCACGAGAGUGGGAGCACUCUGGACAGACUGCCUCGCUUAAACGGGGAGGAAGGUGGGGAUGACGUCAAGUCAGUAUGGCCCUUACGGCCAGGGCUGCACACGUACUACAAUGCCCGAUACAGAGGGAAGCAAGACCGUCAGGUGGAGCAAAUCCCACAAAAUCGGGCCCAGUUCAGA
rnacentral:rRNA from 1 species